rnacentral:rRNA from 1 species
AGCGAACGCUGGCGGCAGGCUUAACACAUGCAAGUCGAGCGGGCAUCCUUGUGGUGUCAGCGGCAGACGGGUGAGUAACGCGUGGGAACGUGCCCUUCGGUUCGGAAUAACUCAGGGAAACUUGAGCUAAUACCGGAUACGUUCGAGAGCAGAAAGGUUUAUCUGCCGAAGGAUCGGCCCGCGUCUGAUUAGCUAGUUGGUGAGGUUACGGCUCACCAAGGCGACGAUCAGUAGCUGGUCUGAGAGGAUGAUCAGCCACACUGGGACUGAGACACGGCCCAGACUCCUACGGGAGGCAGCAGUGGGGAAUAUUGGACAAUGGGGGCAACCCUGAUCCAGCCAUGCCGCGUGAGUGAUGACGGCCUUAGGGUUGUAAAGCUCUUUUCUCCGGGACGAUAAUGACGGUACCGGAGGAAUAAGCCCCGGCUAACUUCGUG